CAGUAGCCGCGGUAAUACGAAGGGUGCAAGCGUUAAUCGGAAUUACUAGGCGUAAAGCGUGCGUAGGCGGUUUGUUAAGUCUGUUGUGAAAUCCCCGGGCUCAACCUGGGAAUGGCAAUGGAUACUGGCAAGCUAGAGUAUGUCAGAGGAUGGUGGAAUUCCCGGUGUAGCGGUGAAAUGCGUAGAGAUCGGGAGGAACAUCAGUGGCGAAGGCGGCCAUCUGGGACAACACUGACGCUGAGGCACGAAAGCGUGGGGAGCAAACAGGAUUAGAUACCCCGGUAGUCCCUGUCUCUUAUAC
rnacentral:rRNA from 1 species